rnacentral:rRNA from 1 species
UACGGGAGGCAGCAGUGGGGAAUAUUGCACAAUGGGCGAAAGCCUGAUGCAGCUAUGCCGCGUGUAUGAAGAAGGCCUUAGGGUUGUAAAGUACUUUCAUCGGGGAGGAAAAAACAAAACUAAUAAUUUUAUUUCUUGACGUUACCCGAAAAAGAAGCACCGGCUAACUCCGUGCCAGCAGCCGCGGUAAUACGGAGGGUGCUAGCGUUAAUCAGAAUUACUGGGCGUAAAGAGCACGUAGGUGGUUUUUUUAAGUCAGAUGUGAAAUCCCUGGGCUUAACCUAGGAACUGCAUUUUGAAACUGAAAUACUAGAGUAUCGUAGAGGGAGGUAGAAUUCUAGGUGUAGCGGUGAAAUGCGUAGAUAUCUGGAGGAAUACCUGUGGCGAAAGCGGCCUCCUAAACGAAUACUGACACUGAGGUGCGAAAGCGUUGGGGAGCAAACAGGGAUUAGAUACCCGU